rnacentral:lncRNA from 1 species
CCAAUAAGAAUAUGAAAAUUGCCCCAUUUUGAUACCUAAACUCAUCUCUCCUCUCUCUCUCUCUCUCUCUAAACCCCUCUGCCCACCGCCACCUUCUCCAUGGUGGCUCCGCCACUGGAAAUCACCUACCGGCAGCGGAUGACCUCCAAACCACCUUAAAAUUUCACCACUUCUUCAUUCAACCUCACAUCCAUUAAUCCGAACUCCAAAUCCUCAUAACCCACUCAAUUUCCGUAAAUCUAAGCAUAAUUGAAACCCUAGAUGCCGCUCACCACCCCAAACUCCGAAAAUUUUACACCACUGACCUCAUCUCGCUCUCCUUUUCUCCAUUCCAGCCUCAAAACCUUCAAAACCCUCUAAAAUCCGGUCAAAAAUUGGUUAAAUUUCGGCCAGCAGCCCCCACUUCCGUCUCACCACCACCAAGUGCCCGAGCUUUUUUUUUCCUAGACACAACUUGGGAACAAUCCUUUCUAGGCGACAUGGUGUUGAAAUGACUAGUUGGCUCCCCCCAAUUGGUGGUCCUAAUGUUUGUCGCUUACAAAAUUUCAUUCAAAUGUUGCUCGUCAUCAUUUGUCACUAUUCGCGUCAUCCCCGAGAUUUAUGGACAGUUUCAUAUGCCCUCAAUCAGUAUAAAUCUUACUUCCUUUCUAUCUUUUCUGAUUUUUUUUUUUGCCUUUGUAAUUAGUAUUAGUUUUAAGGUUUAAUUUUUAUUCUUGUUAUUUUUAUUGGUGUGCAAUUGAGCUUGGGUAGUAUUGGUUUUCAAUUACAAAUUACUUUAUAAAUGUGAAUUUCAGUUCUUCGACCUAGCUGAUCGAGUAGUUCGUUAUUGUCUGUCAAUUAUGAUUUUUGGUUCUUCGACCUAGUCGGUCGACUAUUUUGUGUGAAUUUGUUAAGUUUGAAGUUUCAAUUCUUUGACCUGGCGUGUGGAGUAGUUCGUUAUUGUCCGUCAGUUUCGAUUUUUUGUUCUUCAACCUAGCUGAUCGACUAUUUUUUUAGAAUUUGUUAGGUUUGAAUUUUCAAUUUAUCAACCUAGUUGAUCGAUCGUUAAGUGUUUUAUGCUAGUUUCAUGAUAAAUAAAAAAGAUUAGUUGAAUCGUUUAUCCAGCAAGUUGUUUGUUAAGUUGUUAUUACCAAUGCUCAUUUAAUUUCUAUUUUCGCACGAUAGUUUGUAAUCUCAAUCGCUUCAUGUUAGUUUGCAUAAACCGAAUUUAUUCUAAUCUAGUUUGUCUAAAUACUUAGUUCAAUUACAUUUUGAGUCUUGUUUUACUUUGCUAGUUCAUAUUUUGUUGGAGAUUGAGUGUAUAAGCUGAAUUUCAGUCAUGUGU